AAGCUCUUUCGCCUGUGAAGAUAAUGACUGUAUCAGGUAAAGAAACCCCGGCUAACUCCGUGCCAGCAGCCGCGGUAAUACGGAGGGGGUUAGCGUUGUUCGGAAUUACUGGGCGUAAAGCGCGCGUAGGCGGACAUUUAAGUCAGAGGUGAAAUCCCAGGGCUCAACCCUGGAACUGCCUUUGAUACUGGGUGUCUUGAGUUCGAGAGAGGUGAGUGGAAUUCCGAGUGUAGAGGUGAAAUUCGUAGAUAUUCGGAGGAACACCAGUGGCGAAGGCGGCUCACUGGCUCGAUACUGACGCUGAGGUGCGAAAGUGUGGGGAGCAAACAGGAUUAGAUACCCUGGUAGUCCACACCGUAAACGAUGAAUGCCAGUCGUCGGGCAGUAUACUGUUCGGUGACACACCUAACGGAUUAAGCAUUCCGCCUGGGGAGUACGGUCGC
rnacentral:rRNA from 1 species